CUGGAUUAGUGCACAUGCGGUCAGCCUUCUUGGCCCCGGCCCUUUGGACCCAAAAUGAACUCCAGCUGCUGCUGCCCAGAGCAGCAAGUGGUAAGAAGCUGGAUCAUCUUUCUUCAUCUGCUCACUGCCUUCACAGAAUUUGCAAGUGUGAUGAACUAUUUCAUCCCUUUACAGGAUUAGGGAUUUGGAUUUGCCUCUCACCAAGGUGCUGCUGGCCGGUUCACUGGCUGCUGGAGGGUGUCUCUAAGACCUGAUUUAACCUGAAGCACUCACUUCCUCAGGGGGUCUGCAGCAGGGCUGGAAGACUGCAAACACUGCAUCACUUGCCUCCUGUCACCUGCUGCCACACGACUGCAGUGCCUGUGCCAUGCUCUCAGCUGCCUCACCCUGAAAUGUUCCUCAUGAUGGUUUGUAUGGAGCUGCCAUGGAGCAGGCUUUGCUUUUGGUGGCAGUAUCCCUUGCCAUGUCAUUCAUAAAGAAGAUGGCUUUAUCCUUGCCUUUAUUCCACUGGGACCAUCUGCUCUACCCACAGGCAUCAAAAGUGGCAAAUCUUCUGUGACCUUUUAUAAUUUUCAGUUGAAGCUCUACAUCACAUGAACUUCUUGGGGUUUUUUGAGAGGUAAAGACUUUUUUUUUUUUUACAACACCAAAUAAAGCAACACCAAAUAAAAACCCA
rnacentral:lncRNA from 1 species